CCCCAGACUCCUACUGGAGGCAGCAGUGGGGGGUAUUGCACAAUGGGGGGAACCCUGAUGCAGCGACGCCGCGUGGGUGAAGGAGCGUUUCGGCGCGUAAAGCCCUAUCGGCAGGGAAGAAGGAGGACGGUACCUGACUAAGAAGCCACGGCUAACUACGUGCCAGCAGCCGCGGGAAUACGUAGGUGGCAAGCGUUAUCCGGAUUUAUUGGGUGUAAAGGGCGUGUAGGCGGGAGCGCAAGUCAGAUGUGAAAACUCAGGGCUCAACCCUGAGCCUGCAUUUGAAACUGUGUUUCUUGAGUGCUGGAGAGGCAAUCGGAAUUCCGUGUGUAGCGGUGAAAUGCGUAGAUAUUAGGAAGAACACCAGUGGCGAAGGCGGCUUACUGGACAGUAACUGACGUUGAGGCUCGAAAGCGUGGGGAGCAAACAGGAUUAGAUACCCCAGUAG
rnacentral:rRNA from 1 species